GAGUAUAAAAAAUUAUUAAUUUUGUUAAUAGGUUAAUUUAAUUGAAUAAAGAAAUUUUUAUUUUAGUAUUAGUGAAGAAAAAAUUUUAUUAAUAAUAGUAAAUUAGUAUUGUGAAAGAAAUUUUUUAAAUUUGAAAAAGAAAAAUUUAAUUUUUGUACCUUGUGUAUCAGGGUUGAUUAAUUAAUAAUUAAUUAUUUAAUAUUCUCGAAUUUAAAAGAGCUAAUUAUUUAUAAAUUUUAUUGUGAAAUAAAUAUUUAAAAUAAAUAAUUAGAAAUGAAACGUUAUUCGUUUUUAAAUAUAUCUAGUUUUUAAAGAAAUAAAUUUAAUUUAUUUAUUAAUAUUUAAAAUUUUAAUUAUUUAAUUUUUUAAUUAUUAAUAAAAAAUUUUCUUAGGGAUAAGCUUGAGAAAAAAAAGAUUAUAAUUAAUUUUAAAUGGAAUAAUUUAUAGGAUUAUAAUUUUCUAUUAAUAAAAAAAUGUUAUAAUUGAUUAUUCUAAAAAUUUUAUUUUUAUUUAAUUUAAUUUUUAUAUUUAAAUUUUAUUAUUAAUUUUUAAUAAUAAGUAAUUAUGAUUAAAUUAGUAAAGUAUAGUGUAAUUUUAAUUUUUUAAUUAAGGUUAAAUUAAGGAAUUCGGCAAAAUUAUUUUUCACCUGUUUAAUAAAAACAUGUCCUUAUGAUUAUAAUUUAAGGUCUAAUCUGCCCACUGAGGAUUUAAAUGGCCGCGGUAUUUUGACCGUGCGAAGGUAGCAUAAUAAUUAGUUUCUUAAUUAGAAGCUGGAAUGAAUGAUUGGAUGAGAAAAUAACUGUCUCAAUUUAAUUUAAAUUUGAAUUUUAUUUUUAAGUAAAAAAGCUUAAAUAAUAUUAAAAGACGAGAAGACCCUAUAGAGUUUAAUAAAUUUGAUAAUUUAAAUAUUAUAGUUUGAAGAUUUUAGAUUGUUAGGAUUUAUUUUA
rnacentral:rRNA from 1 species